rnacentral:lncRNA from 1 species
UCCCAAUUUUAUUCUAAACCCUAGAAUAUAGAUCCGUUUCUCUCCUCUCUCCCACUCAACCCACACCUCCGAUGCCUCCGCAAUUGUGCCCGGCUCGAGAUCUCCCUCUAGGUUGCUCGGAUCCAGGGAAGCUAUACUAAUCAAGAACUUCGGCCUGAUGAACAGUCAAAUGUUGCGCCACGAAAAUGACGACGCUUUAGUGGAAUACUUGUCAGCUCCGUUUUCUUCAUCGACUCCAAUUGCGUGUACUUUCUCUGUGGAAUCAUACGCCCUCUCUUAUUCAUCUUACUCAUACAAAUCAAUCAAUCGUUCAGCGGGCAAUUGCUGUUGCUGUUCUUCCUCAUGUGAAGCAUAUUUUCCUUAAAGAAAAAGGAAAAUCAAGAAGUGAAGAAGGAAAAAGAGUGGCUGAUUUGGGUGGUGACGUGGUGUUGGUGAGGUGUAUGUGGGGCGACGAUGGAGGUGUGCUAGCAGUGUUAAUCUGGGCAGUGUUGGUAAGGUUAUGGGUUGUGUAUUAUUGGUGUGUUCAGUGGUGGCAAUGGCGGUGCGAUAGGAUUGCUUAUGGUGGUAUGUGACCACUAUUUCACGCAUGUGGCCAACCAUUUAAUUUAAUUAUCUGUAACCAAUAGUUUAAGGGUGACCUAAGAAUUUUACAAUUUGUGAUCAAUUAAUUUGACCUUGGAGUAAUUUGAGACUUGUAAAUUUUGGAUCUGUGACCUACAAAAUUUUCUAUUUGUGACCUCAAAAUAAUUUGUGAUCAAUUAAUUUGAUGAUAUGUGACCAGUAAAUAAAUCUGUAACCUAUAAUUAUGAAUUCGU